UUUUUGAGAGCUGAAUAGCAAUAAACUUUUAAUUUAUUUAUAGAAUUUAUUCUUCUUGCGU
rnacentral:tRNA from 1 species